rnacentral:rRNA from 1 species
GACGAACGCUGGCGGCGUGCUUAACACAUGCAAGUCGAACGGAAAGGCCCCCACUUUUUUGGUGGGGGUGCGCGAGUGGCGAACGGGUGAGUAACACGUGGGUGAUCUGCCCUGUACUUCGGGAUAAGCUUGGGAAACUGGGUCUAAUACCGGAUAGGACCAUGGUUUAGUGUCUCAUGGUGGAAAAAUUAUUGUUUUGGUGCAGGAUGAGCUCGCGGCCUAUCAGCUUGUUGGUGGGGUAAUGGCCUACCAAGGCGUCGACGGGUAGCCGGCCUGAGAGGGUGGACGGCCACAUUGGGACUGAGAUACGGCCCAGACUCCUACGGGAGGCAGCAGUGGGGAAUAUUGCACAAUGGGCGCAAGCCUGAUGCAGCGACGCCGCGUGGGGGAUGACGGCCGUCGGGUUGUAAACUCCUUUCGUUAGGGACGAAGCCGCACCUUUUUUGGGUGUGGUGACGGUACCUUUGUUAAGAAGCACCGGCUAACUACGUG